rnacentral:rRNA from 1 species
AUUGAACGCUGGCGGCAGGCCUAACACAUGCAAGUCGAACGGUAACAGGAAGCAGCUUGCUGCUUUGCUGACGAGUGGCGGACGGGUGAGUAAUGUCUGGGAAACUGCCUGAUGGAGGGGGAUAACUACUGGAAACGGUAGCUAAUACCGCAUAACGUCGCAAGACCAAAGAGGGGGACCUUAGGGCCUCUUGCCAUCGGAUGUGCCCAGAUGGGAUUAGCUAGUAGGUUGGGGAACGGCUCACCUAGGCGACGAUCCCUAGCUGGUCUGAGAGGAUGACCAGCCACACUGGAACUGAGACACGGUCCAGACUCCUCCGGGAGGCAGCAGUGGGGAAUAUUGCACAAUGGGAGCAAGCCUGAUGCAGCCAUGCCGCGUGUAUGAAGAAGGCCUUCGGGCUGUAAAGUACUUUCAGCGGGGAGGAAGGGAGUAAAGUUAAUACCUUUGCUCAUUGACGUUACCCGCAGAAGAAGCACCGGCUAACUCCGUG